rnacentral:rRNA from 1 species
GCAUACGUCCUACGGGAGAAAGGGGGCUCCGGCUCCCGCUAUGGGAUGAGCCUAUGUCGGAUUAGCUAGUUGGUGAGGUAACGGCUCACCAAGGCCACGAUCCGUAGCUGGUCUGAGAGGAUGAUCAGCCACAUCGGGACUGAGACACGGCCCGAACUCCUACGGGAGGCAGCAGUGGGGAAUAUUGGACAAUGGGGGAAACCCUGAUCCAGCCAUGCCGCGUGUGUGAAGAAGGCCCUCGGGUUGUAAAGCACUUUCAGCGAGGAAGAACGCCUAGCGGUUAAUACCCGCUAGGAAAGACAUCACUCGCAGAAGAAGCACCGGCUAACUCCGUGCCAGCAGCCGCGGUAAUACGGAGGGUGCAAGCGUUAAUCGGAAUUACUGGGCGUAAAGCGCGCGUAGGUGGCUUGAUAAGCCGGUUGUGAAAGCCCCGGGCUCAACCUGGGAACGGCAUCCGGAACUGUCAAGCUAGAGUGCAGGAGAGGAAGGUAGAAUUCCCGGUGUAGCGGUGAAAUGCGUAUAGAUCGGGAGGAAUACCAGUGGCGAAGGCGGCCUUCUGGACUGACACUGACACUGAGGUGCGAAAGCGUGGGUAGCAAACAGGAUUAGAUACCCUGGUAGUCCACGCCGUAAACGAUGUCGACCAGCCGUUGGGUGCCUAGCGCACUUUGUGGCGAAGUUAACGCGAUAAGUCGACCGCCUGGGGAGUACGGCCGCAAGGUUAAAACUCAAAUGAAUUGACGGGGGCCCGCACAAGCGGUGGAGCAUGUGGUUUAAUUCGAUGCAACGCGAAGAACCUUACCUACUCUUGACAUCCUGCGAAUUUGGUAGAGAUACCUUAGUGCCUUCGGGAACGCAGAGACAGGUGCUGCAUGGCUGUCGUCAGCUCGUGUUGUGAAAUGUUGGGUUAAGUCCCGUAACGAGCGCAACCCUUGUCCUUAUUUGCCAGCGCGUAAUGGCGGGAACUCUAAGGAGACUGCCGGUGACAAACCGGAGGAAGGUGGGGACGACGUCAAGUCAUCAUGGCCCUUACGAGUAGGGCUACACACGUGCUACAAUGGUCGGUACAAAGGGUUGCCAACUCGCGAGAGUGAGCCAAUCCCGAAAAGCCGAUCUCAGUCCGGAUCGGAGUCUGCAACUCGACUCCGUGAAGUCGGAAUCGCUAGUAAUCGUGGAUCAGAAUGCCACGGUGAAUACGUUCCCGGGCCUUGUACACACC